rnacentral:rRNA from 1 species
AGUGAACGCUGGCGGUAGGCCUAACACAUGCAAGUCGAACUGCAGCACAGUAAGAGCUUGCUCUUACGGGUGGCGAGUGGCGGACGGGUGAGGAAUACAUCGGAAUCUACUUUUUCGUGGGGGAUAACGUAGGGAAACUUACGCUAAUACCGCAUACGACCUACGGGUGAAAGCAGGGGAUCUUCGGACCUUGCGCGAUUGAAUGAGCCGAUGUCGGAUUAGCUAGUUGGCGGGGUAAAGGCCCACCAAGGCGACGAUCCGUAGCUGGUCUGAGAGGAUGAUCAGCCACACUGGAACUGAGACACGGUCCAGACUCCUACGGGAGGCAGCAGUGGGGAAUAUUGGACAAAGGGCGCAAGCCUGAUCCAGCCAUACCGCGUGGGUGAAGAAGGCCUUCGGGUUGUAAAGCCCUUUUGUUGGGAAAGAAAAGCAGCAGGUUAAUACCCCGCUGUUCUGACGGUACCCAAAGAAUAAGCACCGGCUAACUUCGUG